rnacentral:rRNA from 1 species
GACGAACGCUGGCGGCGCGCUUAACACAUGCAAGUCGAACGGAAAGGCCUGCUUUCCCUUGUGGAUUGCGGGUACUCGAGUGGCGAACGGGUGAGUAACACGUGAGUGAUCUGCCCCCAACUUGGGUAUAAGCCUGGGAAACUGGGUCUAAUUCCCGAUAGGACUGCAGGGUGGUGCCUGUGGUGGAAAACGAUUUUCUAGUGGUUGGGGAUGAGCUCGCGGCCUAUCAGCUUGUUGGUGGGGUAAUGGCCUACCAAGGCGGCGACGGGUAGCCGGCCUGAGAGGGUGGACGGCCAUAUUGGGACUGAGAUACGGCCCAGACUCCUACGGGAGGCAGCAGUGGGGAAUAUUGCACAAUGGGCGGAAGCCUGAUGCAGCGACGCCGCGUGGGGGAUGACGGCCUUCGGGUGGUAAACUCCUUUCGACCGCGAGGAAGCCACCUGGUUGGAAGGGUGGUGACGGUAGUGGUAGAAGAAGCACCGGCUAACUACGUG